AGGACCUUCUUUAUAUGCUGAACACUACUGAGAAAACAUACAUAUACGCAAGAACUCGGAUGAUCUUUAACGAUUGGAAUCAGGAAAGGUGUACAUACUACACCAAGAUAGAUCUCAAUGAAACUGACUACGAAUUCUUGUUAUUUAUGCCUUAUCUCUAUGGCAAAUCAAACGCGAAUGCGCAUACAGAAAGCAACGGAAGUAACACUGUGCCGUCCUUCCGGGUACAUGCGAAACUCGGAAAUUGAACCGACGAUCCAGGUCCGUACAUGCAGACAGCCAAUUAUCCUGGACUUGGAAAUGUCACAAAAAGCUAUG
rnacentral:lncRNA from 1 species